rnacentral:rRNA from 1 species
UACAGAGGUCUCAAGCGUUGUUCGGAUUCAUUGGGCGUAAAGGGUGCGUAGGUGGCGCCGUAAGUCGGGUGUGAAAUUUCGGAGCUUAACUCCGAAACUGCAUUCGAUACUGCGGUGCUUGAGGACUGGAGAGGAGACUGGAAUUCCUGGUGUAGCGGUGAAAUGCGCAGAUAUCAGGAGGAACACCAAUGGCGAAGGCAGCUCGCUGGGACGUGACUGACGCUGAGACGCGAAAGCGUGGGGAGCAAACAGG